GCGGCUUCUCGGCGCCAUUUUGUCUCGGCAGCGGUGGCCACAGCUCUAUCGCAUUUUAUGUUUCUGGCGAGAAGGGAUUGGAGCGUCUAUCCGGUAGGUUCAUUUUAGUGCGGGACCUAUUUACCGUUCCCUCCAGGACACCACUCAGUGAAUAUCGGAAGAGUCAUGGACCCUUCAAAAAGUUGUGUUGAGGAAAGUAUAGGACAUCUCAAUGACAAAUAUCCAGAUAUUACUGAGAACAAGCCUGGUUUUUGUGAAAAAAUGAAGCUCGGAUUUCCAGUUUUAAAGACUUAGAUCUGCUAUGCGUGUUGAAAAUUCUGUUCCUGGUCUCGUUAUGAAUCAUAAAUAAAAGCAAACGGACAGUCUCUUCAGAUAAGUGUAUUUGUAAUCUAAAUACAUUUUAUUUGAAAUCUCUAAACUGAAACUUUGUUCUUCUAAAACUUUCUUUUUUUUUUAGGUAUCACUAUUAAGGUUUAAACACUAAUAAGGUAUUCAGUCUUUUCUUAAAAUAAAAUUUAUAGUCACAAAGUAAAAUGUAGUUGCUUUUUUUACCAUCUUACUGAUAGAAUGUUAAAUAGGAUAUUCAUUAUCAUUUCAUUUCUGAGGGUAAUCAGAUCUCACAGUAGUUACAAAGUGCCCUUAAAUUGAACCUAGAUUAAUCCUGUGUAUAGUAUGAAAAUCAGUUUUUUCAUAAUAGCUUGAGAACUAGGUAUAGCUGCUUAGUUUUAUCUGAUGUUAUUACAUCUAUAGUGGGUUACAAGUAGUUUAGCUGCUUAAAGUUAGGUUUAAAACAGAGCUUUGAACCAAUUUGAACCAAUUCAGUUACGGCCGACAACUGUGAAACAGGAUCAGACCCUAAGUUUUACAAUUUGGCAUGGUACCUGGAAUGAGAAAAAUUAACAGGUUGAGGUUCUGGAAUGAGACUCAGAAGAGGCAGAGUGAGCCGUUUCAGUAGCCUGAUAUGUGAGAUUGGAUUGUUGGCAGGGCUGUAGAAGAGCAACACACUUUCCAAGUGGUGUGGUCAGCAGCCGUCCUUAGGUGGGGUGCCAUCAUCUUUGAGCUGGACAGUGCUGCUCUGGACUGUGCUCAGAAUCCAAGGGCAAGGGAUUUAUUUGGUUGCUAUGCAAUGCAUACACUGCCCUUGUUCCCUAAGAGGGAGAUUAAGUUUCUAGCAGGACUUCAACCCAUAAUUUUUCCUGUUCUGGUCAUCUUUCCGGUUUACCAAAACCCAUUGCCAUUGAGUUGAUUCUGACUCAUAGUGUCCCUAUAGGACAAAGUAGAACUGACCCAUAGGAUUUCCAUAGGCUGGUGGAUUCAAACUGCCAGCCUUUCAAUUAGCAGCUGUUAACCACUAUGUCACCAGGGCUCCAUCCAUUUUACAGUACCUUAAAAUUUCGGGUGUUUCAGUGAUGCUUCCUUGGCCCUGGUUUAAAAAGGGUUGUUGAGGAAUACAUGCACUCACAGCCCAGUAAGAAUAGAAGAUUAAUGUGCCAUUCAUAGUUUGGAAAAGUUUAAGAAAAGCCACAGAUUGGCUUAUUAUCUGAGUAAAAUAUGAGUUGUAAAAUGUAGCAGAUAAUUUCACAUAAAAAAAAAGCCAUAAUAAAAUACUGCUUUUGAGUUGUUUGUGUAGUAGUUAGCUAUUUAAGUAUAAUGAUUUGCUGUCUAAAGUACACAAAUGCUCAAAGUCCACCAAUACCCUGCAACUAAACGACUAAAUUGUCUUCCCAGGAAAGCAUAGCAGUUGAAUGGUGCAGCACUGGCAUGAGCCUGAUAAAGUGGUUAAACACUCAUCAGCUGCAAACUGGAAGGUCAGCAGUUCAAACCUACCAGCUGCUCUGCAGGAGAAAAAUGUGGCAGUCUGCUUCCAUAAAGAUUUACAGCCUUUGAGACUCCAUGGGGCAUUUCCACUCUGUCCUGUAGGGUUGCUGUGAGUCAGAAUUGACUACAACAGCAGUGGGUUUGGUUUUUUAUAUCUAGGAUACCUGGCAAAACUCACAAGUAUUUCUCCCUGCUGAGAGUGCUGCUAUUGAGGUUCUGACAGUUGUCCUUCCAAGCCCCAGUACUUCCUAUACCACUUACUAACAAUUACGUUUACAGAGCACAUUCACAUACAUUCUAAUUUAUUUUUGGCAUAAAUGCUCUCUGGUGGGUAUUUUUAUUUGAACUUCACAGAUCAAGAAAUUUUAAGAGUGACAGAAUAGGGAUUUUAUUGAUUGUUAAAUGCACACCCCCUAACUACAAUAAAGGAAAAAUAAACAUUCUUGACUCACAUAUUGAUGAAACUUUUAAAAAACUGUCCCAAUUUGAGACAUACUUCUUUUGCAUCACACCUAAAAUUUAACAAUGGGUUUCUUAGUAACAAUCACUAGGUAAGUGAUGGAGUAGAGAUUGGGAUUCAUGAUUUCAAAGCCUCUUCAUUUUCUAGUAUCUUUUUUUUUUUUAAGGAAUUUUAAAGUAGGCAUAAAUCUACACUUUACUGUUGAGUAAUACAUCCUCAACCCCCACCAAUUUUGUCAGGGAGAUAUUAACCAAGCUUCAGUUGUUACAAGACAAAAAUUUAAUGAAAAUUGAUCAGUGGGUAUGUAAUAAUCCACAGGGCUAAAUAGUUUACAUGGGACUGUAAUAGAAAUUUAAAAUAGAUGCUGAAGUAAAUGUUACAUAUUAUCAUCAUCUGAUUCAUCUUCUUCCUUCAAAGAUUCCUGUUAGAAGAAAAAUAGUUUAAAAGCAAUUUUAGUAUCGUCAUCUCCCGUACCUAUAGGCAAGUUAAGGUUUAACAACCUAAAUUUAAUUCAGCCCGUCAUUAAAAAUUCACUUAUUUAUAACUGAAAAAUGGAACACUGUUUUAGAACGAGACACCCAAGUCAAGCAAAACCCAAACCCAGUGCCGUCAAGUCGAUUCCGACUCAUAGUGACCCUAUAGGACAGAGUAGAACUGCCCCAUAGUUUCCAAGGAAUGCCUGGCAUAUUCAAACUGCCAACCCUUUGGCUAGCAGCCGUAGCACUUGACCACUAUGCCAGGGUUUCCAAGUAAAAGCAAAGGAUAAAUAUAUCUUGCUCUAACAAUCAAAAGCUACAUUGUUGCUAGAACCCAGACAUACAGCAUUCAUGUCCGGAAGAACCCAGGCAAUUUUCACCCAAAAAAUAAGAUCUGGAACCAGGGCAACUUUAUCCCUAUUGGGGAUAACCUAGAAAAUUCCUGUCCUUAAUGCAGCCCUACCCUUGAAAGUUUUAAUCAACCCAGUUCCUUUAUUAUUCAACUCUUAUUUGCAUACCUUCAGCUGGAGAAGUUUUUAUGCUGUAGCUUACCUUAGCGUAUUUCUCUGCUUCUUCUCUUAUAUCUUUUGGUACAAUUUCAUGUCUUCCUUUAGUUACUGUAAAAUUAAGCCAUAUUAAAGGAAUUUAAAAUAAGUAUAUUGUGAUUUGCAACGCCAUGCAGUCUAUCCAAUCCACACGUACAAUUCACUAAUAUUAUGAAAGUACUGCAAGCAAUACCAGAUGCUUUGAAUUCAACUUUGUAUUUCUUCCACAUCAGAGCUUACGUCUACCCAAGUUUACUCUUAUGGAGAUGAAGAGUAUAUUAGAUCGGAAUUCAGCUGAUUGUAAAUAUUGAGUAUUCAUUAAUGUGCACCAAAUUAAUUUUUAAAACAUCCUAGCCUUGAAAAAAAUUUAAUUUCUCGGUAGUAUCUUUUAAAAGCAUGAAAUGGAUGUUGGGGGGGGGGAACAAUUAUAAGGAAAUAAACGGUUCACAAUGUUAGUCAAGAAGUAUUACGCAGAAUUUUUCCUGACUACCUUGUAAGUUUAAUUUUUUUUUUCACAUUAGAAAGGGUACCCAGUGGUAAAGUAGCUGUGGUUCGGAUGACUCCUUCAGCGAAUUAAACAUGCAAAUAUAACUUACAUUCACCAACCCAGCUGAGCUCUAGUUCAAAAGCUUUAUCCUUGACUUCAUCAUGUACUAUGUAAAUUCUAAAAUACAAAAAGAAAAUAACAUUCAUUUGGCCAUCUCCAAGCAUUUUAAUUCAUGCACCUACUGUCAGUACAAAUCAGAGCAACCAUCCCUAAAAUAAGUAUUUAUUACUAAAGUAUAUAAGACACAUUACAGUCUAUACAGUUACGAACAUUAGAAAACAGAUUACAGUGACUGAAAUAAAACACUUGCUCUCCUUACAAAUGAUUAUACAUCCCAAGUUUGCUUUAUUUUGAUACUUUGUUUUAAAAAAUCCUAACUAAAGAAAAAUACCUCAUAAAGAACAUAGAUUCUUACGGGAAAAUGCCAUCAUUAGCCGUGUCUUCCCAGAAUACAAUUACAGGCAGUCCCCAGAUUACAAAUGAGUUCCGUUCAUAAGUCAGUCUUUAAGUCAAAUUUGAACAUAAGUCACUACAGGUAACGUUCAUAUCUAAGAUUAGUCAAAUAUCUACCUUAGUGUAUAGUGUACCUUUCUAUGCAUAAAAAACAUUAAAGAAACACUUCUGAAGACACUAAAAAUCUUUAACGUAAUUUAACAGUAAUAAUAAAGUUUUGAUGCUCAUCACAAAGUAGCACCCAUUCAUUAUUAGGAACCAUUGUAUGUACCUCGAAUUUAAAUAUGAUAGGCUUUAAGGAAGUUGGUUCGUAACUAUGGGUUGUUCAGACUUUCACAACCCAGGACUGCCUGUAUUUUUAACCAAUUUAUUUAUGUGCUUGCGAUAAUUAGCGGUAUCUUCAAUCUGCAGCUUCUUGGCAGGAAUCUUCUUAAAUUCCUUGUCCAUUUUCUAAGGACUACAUUCUACUUAACCUGGCUUUUAAAUUAUCAGAAAACAUAUAAAAAAAUAUUAAAUAUCAGGAUAAAGCUUUCUUUUAUAUUUUCCACUCUUACAUACCUUACUUAGGAGGGUCGUCCUAACCCCUUGCUUAAUGACAAAUCAUAUUUUCUAGAGCUAAUACAGUGUUCCAUUAUAUUAAAUAAAUGAUGACUUUACUACAUGAGACUAGAGAAGUGUCUAAAUAUAAAAGGUGUUAAAGGAUGAUUUCCAGAAGCACUUAAAAGGAUUGGUUUAGUGAAGGAAAUUGAGUAUACCACACUGAACAACUGUACAAUUCAGUGAAGAUUAACUUUCCUUUUAUGAGGUCCUACUGUUAGUUCCCAUCAUUCACUUUAUUAUCAAAACACUUUGCCAAUCAUGGAGAGGUUUCUGCUUAUUUCCACAAUUGCAAGGAGAGAAUCUCAUCAUGAAGGAGUGGGAAUAGUACAUAGACAAUUAGGACAAAAUUAUACAACAGUGAAGAUUUUAAUAGGCUCUCGGGAUUAUCAAAAUAGAACAUCCUUUAUUUGUUAAAAUCAGUUUAGAAGGUAUUAACAGGUACAGUUUAAAUAGUAUGUUUUUAUUAUACACAGAGCCCUCUAGGACUUCCCUUCCUUGCAUGUUUAUAAUUUAAUAUAAAACCCGAGACAUUAUCUGCACAGGGGCUGACUGGCCAGACCUUGUUCAUGUAUUCUAAUGUGGAAUAGCUGGAGGUGCUGUGAAUUUGCUGGAGCAUUAUUUAUAUCCUUGAUUUUAAAUCAGAAAAGUUGGCUGCAACACCAUUUUAUUGGAUUUUUUUUUUCAAAUACCAAACACCAACAUUCUUUGACCUAGAAGAGUUAUGAGUUUUUGAAGCAUUACCACACAGGUUUAUUAACUUUGAAUUGCAGAGUAUUCAAAAAAAUUGUUAGAACAUACUGGAUGUAACUAAUAUAAACCAUUUCAGACUUUAAUAGGCUGUUUUUAAAUGUUUUGAAAUGCUGUUCUCAUUUUGUUACAAGAACUUUUAUAAUAAACCUGAAAAAGUGAAACAUAUCUUGCCCAAAGAAACAGCAGUUUAUAUAAAUGAGCCAGUUUUACAAGUGACUUCAUAUAUCAUGCAGAGAAAUAAUUAGCUGUGAACCUAAAAUAAAGAUAAUUUUAGUUUGUAAGCUUUCUUGGAGGCAAUUUAACAUUAUGUUAAGACCAAAGUCCCCAGAGGUCCAGUAUUUCCUCCUGCCCUUAAAUUCUGUCACCUACAAAAGAAGUUUAUAUACUGUCAAAAGCUGUUUUUUCCCUCCAUCCCAUUCAUUAUCACUUGAAAAUCUAUGUUUAAUUUAAAAUGUGGAUAUUUUCUUCCUUAAUAAGAUUCAUAAUGUGUAAAGGAAACAUAUGCAAAAAGAAAAUAUUUGCUGUAACAUCUGUAUCUUGCUCUAUCUCCUUUAUAUUGUUUCAUGUUAAACGUAGCUUGUAAAAAUUAUACAUAUAUUCUUUUCAAACAAAACAGCCUCUCAAAAUUAAUGUAUAAAGUAAGGUCAAGUGAAAUAUUUUUGUCAAUGGCAAGGAAAAGUCGAACUUACAUUUUUGCAACUUCUUUAACAACAUCACGGCAGGUCAUUUCUUUCAUCUACAGAAAAUAAAAUGUAUAUUCAUUAAGUUUAAAAAUCAGAAGAACACUUUUCACUCGUGUAACUAUUUUCACAAUUUCUAUGAAUAACCUAAUGUUCCUGAAAUAGUUUCUCAGCUAUAAAGCCAGGGAAAAGUAUUCUAAGGCUGGUAAGAGGCCAGAACUAAAGGUUUCUAAUUCAUAGUUCAGUGUUUGAAAAUUAUUGUGCCAAAAUAGUAUUCUGGACAACCCCUAGAUACCACUAGUUAUGUGAUAAGUCUUGAAAAUUAUAAAAAUCUAGAGCCCUCAAUGAAUCUAUUCACAGGCAAAAUGUGAAUUUACAAAUUGUUUACAGAAAAGCUUGUUCUUAUUACAAGCAAUUUGGCUUUCCUGUAGUGGACAUUUGGAAAUUAGACUAGAAAAACAGGCCUUAAGUGUCCAGCUCUGAGGAGUGUGUAUACUGUGUAGGUACUAGAAGUAACCAAUGCAGGAUUUUUAUAUCAGUCAUGUAGGUUUCUGAACAGACAUAAGAUCAGAGCAAUGUUUGAGCAAACUGGCAUUCAUAUUCUGGAUACACUUUGUGUUUGUGGGUGGGGAAAUGGUGAAAGAUACAGAACAUUCAUUUAGCAGUCCAGACUUGUUAGGUGUUUCAACUACUCUUAUUUCUGAACUAGGUUAACAUUUUAUUUUUGAUAUUUUUGAAAUUUAGAAAUCCUGAUACUCAAGCUGUGCCUGCACAACCACAUGAAGAAGAACAAGAACAAAAUAAAACCUUAACACUGAAGUUUAAAUUUAAGAAUACCAGUCUUUUUAGGAAAUCGCGAAAUCCAGUAUAUGGAACAAAAGCAACUGCCAGAGAGUUCAAAAAAUUACCAUCAUGUGAAGAGAAGGAUUCUAACUUUAAAAAGAUCUUUAAAAACAUACUCAGUAUGUGGGAACGCUGACUGUGUGAUUGUUAGAAAAGACAAGAUUAUUGAGGCAGUCUGGUUAUGGGUUGACUAUUGGAUAUCUCAGGUGUGAUAAUGGCAUAUGAAUACUGAAGCACUUAGGGAUACAAUAUCAUGAAGUCUGCAACUCGGGGAAAAAACACAAAUGGAUAAAAUAUGAAAAAAUAACUUAGAUGGAGAGGUUUGUAAUAUUCUAUCUUUUCUGAUAUUUUAGUUGGCAUUUUUACAUAUUUUCAUUAAGUUUUUAUUUCAUAAGUGAAUGUUACCGGUAUACAGAACCUCAGAAGAAAAGGCAGAGUACAGAUAGGCAAACUUUUACUCUGUAAAUGGCCAGAUAGUAAAUACAUUAUUAGACUUUACGACCCAUAAGACCUCUAUUGCAACUAUUCAACUCUACCGUUGUAGUGUGAAAAACUAAAUGUGACUGUGUUCCAACAAAACUUAGUUUUACAAUGGACUGUAGUUUGCCGACCCCUGAUUUAGAGCAUGGUUUUGUCAUAAAAUGUUCCUUAAGCAAAGUAAUUUUUCUUGAUUUUAGCCAGCACUUAUCUUUCCCAUCCCCCGCUAGGAUUUAACGACUGAAAGACAAAAGGAAUAUGGAUCCAAAUAUUCUAAUUUUCAAAAUUUGCACAUAAUACUAGGGAGAAAUGAGUAACAAAAAAAGGAGAGUAUGAUGGAAAAGAGCAUUGUUAAGUUGAUCGAUUCAUGCCUGAAAGGAAAACCAAGCAGCAAGCAUUGGAGAAUAGUCAGACAAUGUGAAAGCUAGGUUCAGACAAGAAAGACAAGACACGGGAAAAAGCACUAUGUAACUUUUCAUUACAACUGAUUCCGUAACAUUAACUCAAAAUUCUAAAGCACCAAGCCUGGGCUUCAUAGGGGUCCAUGAACGCACUUCAGGAGUUUUGUGAAAUUUUAUGAAAAAUUCUGAUUGUAUUUUUCUGGAUGAGGGUCAUAAUAGUUAUCAAAAACCACAAAGGCAUCCAUAACAAUUCUCCAGGUAAUGUGUCACCAACUUUCCUACUCAAACAUUUCGAACCUUCAAAAAGCUCUCUCUAAACAUUCAAUCACAUUUUGUCCUUAGACUAGAAGGUUUAGUUCGUGGUGGUAAGACUUCACUGUGUGGGAGGAUAAUAUUACACCAAAAUUAUAAGUAUUAAACAUGCAUUACCUGAAGUUUUUCAAUUUCUGUCUUUGCAGCUUGCCUGGCUUUACCAAUAGCACAGCCCCAAUAACCCUAUUUAAAAAAUAUAUAUAUAUUUAUCAUUAAAUUAGUAUCAUUAGUGACUACAAGUAUUUCUAUUUAAAGGGUAAAGAGGAUGUUAAAUGACUUGAAAUCAAGUAUGAAGAAACAGUCUAGUACAUUCCAAUGAUCUCUGGAGUGCAAAGUAAUUAAAAUAUCAAACUUAGUUCUUGAAGAAUCUGACUUCUUUAAAAGAGGCAUAUACAGAGAAAAAUUAUAUCAUACACACUUCAAGAAAUACAGACUUUUUUGGGGGGGGAUAGAAAUGAAAAAAACUAGCAAUAUGACAAUGAAAGAUGAGGCUUUCCUCUCUCCCUCCCCCAUGGAGAUAAAAAUUACUUUGAAUUGAGUCCAAUGCUCUAAGUCCUCAGUUUUUGUGGUAUGUUGUAAAGGUGUUUUGGUUUUUUUUUAAUUACAUACAUACAUUUCGAAGAUUCAGUACUUAAAAGUUCAUUUGUUUAAAUUAGUAAAUACCAUAUAAAUGGUCAGAAUAACAAGAUUGUUAAGAAAAGGCAAUAAAUUAGAAAAAGUACCCAAAAUUCCAUUUAAAAUACCUUUUUUAAAAGGAAAAAUACUAUCUUCCAUUUUAAAACACUACUAAUAUAGUAAUGGAAGAAAUACCACAUUCAAAAAUGUAUAUUCGUUAUCAUUUUUAUAAAUAACAUUGAGAGCCACAAACCUUUCCUCUGCCUUAUAGCCAUAAGUUGUUGUUAUUAAUGAUAAAACAUUCCUUAAAUGAUUUUUAAGGAAAUUUCAAAUAAGGCAAAUAUGAGAUUUAAGUAUUAAUGAGAAUGAUACCACUAAACUAGCAUUAGAAUUUCAGAUGAUUCAAAAUUACUCACGUAUGAAACGCCUGAUGGGUCAAUCAUGUAGAGUUGGGCACCAUCAUUCACACUGUAAGACCCUAACAUGAAACUGCAAAAAAGUAAAUGAAAAAGAAAAUGAUCAUUAAACACCACUUGAAAUCUCAACAUCGGCGGGGGGUGGGAGGAGGGGGUAAGUGAAGACUUUAAACCAUGGCUCUUAAUACCAUGAAGUAGGGGGGAAAAUACAAUGAUGAAAAUGUAACUGGUUUCUAAGAUAAAUUACUGAUACACACAAGUCCUUUGAUAAACACCAGGUUUUAAUUAUUAAAAGCUAGUGCAUAUUUGAGAUUAUCUCUUCAAUAUUCAUGUGGCUUUUUCUGUUUGUUUAGUAUUAAGCCUUCUGAUGAAACUUGGCUUCCUGGUAUGUUAGCGGUAUUGAGAAAGGAGUAAAUGAUAACGCAGAAUGAAAAUAAUGGAGGGUCUAAAAGGUAAAUGUAUAAACAUCUUUGAAAAAGCCAUAUGGGCAAAAUUCCUGGCUGAGUAUACUGAAUUCACAAACUUUCCAUCCUUAAUUCUUUUCUGGCUACUCCCCGAUUUUCCUCCAGACAUUUUUCUGCAAAAUACAAACUGGUUGGUCCAUGCUCACAAAUUAAAAUUAGGCUAUCAAAUGAUCCUAUUGAAUCAGAUUUUCUGAACUGUGGGGUUUUUUUGUUUUUUUCUUUAGAAGUAGAUAAGAAGUCAGCCUGAUCUUACAUAUUAUUUUACAUUUGGAAUACCUAACAGCCAACUGUCCAAUUCCCAGCCCUAACAUCUUUCCAUCCUCCACACUGGUAUGACACUUAUUUUUCAGAAUGUAUAUCUGAUUGUCAUUAUUAUGCUUAAAAUCUUUCAGUGAUACUUUAGGUUACGCUGAAACUCCUUAGCAGACUUACGUAUACUCUGGCCCUGUCUGACAUCGUCAAUAUUAUCUCCAUGCCUUAUACUCUACAUACCAAGUAUACUCAACUACCUCAGCAUUUCCUGAAACUGCCCAUGGAGUUUCAUCCUAGUCCUUUUGCUUGAAAUACCCUUACUGCUCCCCCUCUACAUCUCACUUUGCCUUAUCAUUUCUUCUCAGAGGCCAUUCCCUAAUUGAUGCCCCCACUAUAUACAAUAUAUACCUUUAUUAUUUCACCUUUGAAGUUUUAUCAGUCAUGAUUUAUUCAUCUCUGUGAAUCUGUGACUGUCUUGUAUAUGCUCAAUAAAUGUUCACUGAAAAAGUUAUCACCCCCUCCACUAUUCUUAAUACCCUCAAAAAUGCCACAAAAGAAUUAACUGAUGAAUUUGGAAUUCAGCUGAAAAGUUAAAAAUGAAAGUAUUCUAUUUAGCCUUAAAGCAAAGUGUCUUAAAAUGUAAUUUAAAGAAACUUAAGAAUAACUAAUGCAACAAGUAACAACAAGUUUAACCUACUACCGAUAGGAUAUAACUCAGCUUUUUUUCUAACAUCUGUCCUCCUUAGUAAUUUAAACAUUAUAAAACAAUCCAGAGGUAGGACUACGGCUAACUUACUUUAACAGUGGCAAGCACAGAGAUGUUAGUAAAUGUUUUGCUCAAACAUGACUAGCCUGUUUUAUUUUACAAAAGUUAUAAAUUAAACAUGUCUAUUUUAGGACAAUCUAGAGUCAUGACAAGUCUCCUCUGAAAAGCAGUAUUUAGCCUACCAAAAUAAAUAAAAAUACCAGCACUUCACCUUAACAAAAACAGAAACAGUGCCCAGCGGGGACUGUGAAAUGUAAUGUAUAUGGAUUCCUUACCAACUACUAGAAAUUCCAUUUAAGAGGAUUUUACUUAAGUGUUUAAAGUAUAUGAGAUGGAAAUCAGUGAGAAAACCAAACUAUAACUGGCUACCUAAUAAUGACAAUAUAGAAAAUAUUUAAAAUUAGCUUGUAGUUUUCUGAGACAAAUUUAUACCAGAAAAUUUAUUAAAGUCAUUUCUAUGAAUUAUCACUUUACAUCUGUACACUACUUUACACUAUUCAAAUAGUUUUUAUUUUUAUCUACACUGUUUUAUUUAAUCACUGCCCUAAUACUUCUUAGUAAUAGUACAUGUUUUUAAGGGUAUAAAAGACUAAAAAUUGGUGAAAAUACUUAUAGAUCUGACUGAAUAUCCAAGAGAAUUUCAUACCUGCAGCCAAAAGGUCUAACAGCACUGUAGAGUGUAUAU